AGUGGCGAACGGGUGAGUAAUACAUCGGAACAUGUCCUGUAGUGGGGGAUAGCCCGGCGAAAGCCGGAUUAAUACCGCAUACGAUCUGAGGAUGAAAGCGGGGGACCUUCGGGCCUCGCGCUAUAGGGUUGGCCGAUGGCUGAUUAGCUAGUUGGUGGGGUAAAGGCCUACCAAGGCGACGAUCAGUAGCUGGUCUGAGAGGACGACCAGCCACACUGGGACUGAGACACGGCCCAGACUCCUACGGGAGGCAGCAGUGGGGAAUUUUGGACAAUGGGCGAAAGCCUGAUCCAGCAAUGCCGCGUGUGUGAAGAAGGCCUUCGGGUUGUAAAGCACUUUUGUCCGGAAAGAAAUCCUUGGUUCUAAUAUAGCCGGGGGAUGACGGUACCGGAAGAAUAAGCACCGGCUAACUACGUGCCAGCAGCCGCGGUAAUACGUAGGGUGCAAGCGUUAAUCGGAAUUACUGGGCGUAAAGCGUGCGCAGGCGGUUUGCUAAGACCGAUGUGAAAUCCCCGGGCUCAACCUGGGAACUGCAUUGGUGACUGGCAAGCUAGAGUAUGGCAGAGGGGGGUAGAAUUCCACGUGUAGCAGUGAAAUGCGUAGAGAUGUGGAGGAAUACCGAUGGCGAANGCAGCCCCCUGNGCCAAUACUGACGCUCAUGCACGAAAGCGUGGGGAGCAAACAGGAUUAGAU
rnacentral:rRNA from 1 species